AGGCACCUCUGUGGUAUCUCUUGCCACAACAGUUGCCCCUGGAAGUUUCAGCACAGAAGCCACAACUUCUAUAGGAGAAAAUGGAAAAACAAGAGGUGAAAUAAUCACAGGUACUACUGAGGCCACCUCUGGCAAAGUUCUGGAACCUGGAAGUGCCCACACAGAGGCCACAAUUUUCCCAGGAGGCAGUGGGACUACCCGAGCAGGACUGCCAGGAGGUACCACUGGAGAAUUGUCUAGAAUGACCAUUAUACCUGGAAGUUCUAACACAGAGGCCACAACUUCCACAAAAGGGACUGGUACUUCUGGAACUGGCUUCAAAACUGGCACCUCUGGGGUGGCAUCUGGCACAACAGUUUCCCCUGGAAGUUUCAGCACAGCCACAAUUUCUCCUGGAGCAAGUAGAACGACUGGGGCUGGACCCACUACAGAAACUACAACUUCCCUAGGAGGAGGUGGCACCAUUGGAGCAGAAAUAAAAUCAGGAGCCACCUCCGGAGCACCAGGAAGUAAGACAGGCACAGCUGCAGUGCCCUCUGCUACAACAGUUGCCCCUGGGAGCUCCAACUCAGAGGCCACGACUUCUUUAGGAGAUAGUGGAAAAACAAGAACUGAAACAAUCACAGGUGCUACUGAGGGUAAAACUCUGGCAGCUGGAAGUGCCCACACAGAGGCCACAACUUUCUCAGGAGGCAGCGGGACCACCCGAGCAAGACCACCGGGAGGCACUUCUGGCACAUCAGGAGGAUAUGUCCCUGGAAGGGAAACAGAGCCCACAACUUCCAUUAAAGAAACUGGAACUUCCAGAACUAUAUUCAAAACUGUAGGCAUCACUUCAGCCCCAGGGAGGCAAGCAGGCACCUCUGUGGUGGCGCCUAGCACAAUUGCCCCUGGAAGUUUCAGCACAGCAGCCACAACUUCUCCUGGAGCAAGUGAAAUGACUGGGGUUAGAACCACUUCAAAGACUACAACUUCCCUAGGUGGAAUUGGCACCACUAGAACUGAAAUAAAAUCAGGAGCCACCAAUGGAGCACCAGGAAGUAAGACAGGUGUC
rnacentral:sRNA from 1 species